rnacentral:rRNA from 1 species
AAUUGACUUAGCGGCGGACGGGUGAGUAACGCGUGGGUAACCUGCCUCAUACAGGGGGAUAACAGUUAGAAAUGACUGCUAAUACCGCAUAAGCGCACAGUGCUGCAUAGCACAGUGUGAAAAACUCCGGUGGUAUGAGAUGGACCCGCGUCUGAUUAGGUAGUUGGUGAGGUAACGGCCCACCAAGCCGACGAUCAGUAGCCGACCUGAGAGGGUGACCGGCCACAUUGGGACUGAGACACGGCCCAAACUCCUACGGGAGGCAGCAGUGGGGAAUAUUGGACAAUGGGGGAAACCCUGAUCCAGCGACGCCGCGUGACUGAAGAAGUAUUUCGGUAUGUAAAGGUCUAUCAGCAGGGAAGAAAAUGACGGUACCUGACUAAGAA